rnacentral:rRNA from 1 species
ACAUGCAAGUCGAGCGGACAGAGGGGAGCUUGCUCCCUGAUGUUAGCGGCGGACGGGUGAGUAACACGUGGGUAACCUGCCUGUAAGACUGGGAUAACUCCGGGAAACCGGGGCUAAUACCGGAUGGUUGUUUGAACCGCAUGGUUCAGACAUAAAAGGUGGCUUCGGCUACCACUUACAGAUGGACCCGCGGCGCAUUAGCUAGUUGGUGAGGUAACGGCUCACCAAGGCGACGAUGCGUAGCCGACCUGAGAGGGUGAUCGGCCACACUGGGACUGAGACACGGCCCAGACUCCUACGGGAGGCAGCAGUAGGGAAUCUUCCGCAAUGGACGAAAGUCUGACGGAGCAACGCCCCGUGAGUGAUGAAGGUUUUCGGAUCGUAAAGCUCUGUUGUUAGGGAAGAACAAGUGCCGUUCAAAUAGGGCGGCACCUUGACGGUACCUAACCAGAAAGCCACGGCUAACUACGUGCCAGCAGCCGCGGUAAUACGUAGGUGGCAAGCGUUGUCCGGAAUUAUUGGGCGUAAAGGGCUCGCAGGCGGUUUCUUAAGUCUGAUGUGAAAGCCCCCGGCUCAACCGGGGAGGGUCAUUGGAAACUGGGGAACUUGAGUGCAGAAGAGGAGAGUGGAAUUCCACGUGUAGCGGUGAAAUGCGUAGAGAUGUGGAGGAACACCAGUGGCGAAGGCGACUCUCUGGUCUGUAACUGACGCUGAGGAGCGGAAGCGUGGGGAGCCACAACGAAUAAAUACC